CAGUGCCAUCCUUCUGUUCAUCAUUAGACUCAAUACAGACGCUAAAGUCUUAUUCCACUAAAGCUUGUGUUCAGCAGUGGGAUUAAACUAAAGAUCUUCAGUACGACCCGGUUGAAAUCUUCUGAUUGGUCCGCAAAUACGUAAUGUCCUGCCCCUCUGAUGACCUACGAGGCAGUAUGAGGAAGCUUCAGUAGAUGUCUCCUGAUGAAUCUGAGGGAUGGAGGAGUGAUCAGCUUCAGGAGUGAAAUAGUCCGAAUGUUCUGCCAUCUCAUUUCAUUUCCUUUAGGAAUAAUUUACAAGAUUUAUUUGGGAUCUGGGUUUAGGAUUUUGGAUGUUAUUUGAUUGAUCGGUUUGUAAAGCGAGUGUUCCUCAAGGCUCUGUUCUAUGUUAAAUCAAGCUGUCAUGUAAUCAGAGAAGUCGACAAGGGUGUGUGUUUAAACAGUCCUGAAACACAAGGUGGAUUUUCAGAUGAAUUUUCUGGACUCACGAU